UACGAAGGGUGCAAGCGUUACUCGGAAUUACUGGGCGUAAAGCGUGCGUAGGUGGUUUGUUAAGUCUGAUGUGAAAGCCCUGGGCUCAACCUGGGAACGGCAUUGGAAACUGGCUUACUAGAGUGCGGUAGAGGGGUGUGGAAUUCCCGGUGUAGCAGUGAAAUGCGUAGAUAUCGGGAGGAACACCAAUGGCGAAGGCAGCUUGCUGGGACGGUACUGACGCUGAUGCGCGAAAGCCAGGGGAGCAAACGGG
rnacentral:rRNA from 1 species